GAGUCAGAGACACCAAGGCCUCCUCUUUAAGAAAGCCACCUGCCAGGUCUGAACAGUUGUACAAAAAGGUCCACAGAGCAGGAACUGUGACUCCCACCAGAAGCAUCGUAAAAGUUUGGCAAUGGGUCUGUACCCAAGUCCAGCCCAUGGAGGUUCUUAAAGGCCACCUAUUUGCUCCUGGGAGUUACAGCGGGGACCCAAAGUUCUGUAGAACGAGACUUCUGUGCAGGCCUUCAGAACCAUUACCCCCAAAUAACAGACCCAGGGAAGCAACUAAACUCCAUAAGAUGACAGAAGCUGAUCUGAACCCUCCAAUGAAAACGCAUCUUCCACUUCUAAUCAGAGGAUAUAUAGGAAAAGGGAAUCACAUUUGAGAAAACGUCUCCAUAAGAAUGGC